rnacentral:lncRNA from 1 species
CACCGAGUACAGCCCCAGCGGCAGCCCCAGCAGGAACAGCCACACGUAGAGCCGCACGCAGUUGGCGAACGCUCCGAGCUGCGGCUCCAGGAAGCAGCCGCCGGUCAGCGAGGCCCACACGCCCUGCCGGAGCACCUGCAGCACCGCCUCGCCCGCCAUGGCGGCGCCGGGACCCCCCCGGGCCGUACCCGGGACCCCCGAACCCUCCUCAGGGUCCCGGCGCCGCUUCCCGUUGCGCGCGGUAAUGACGUCAUAGAGAUAAUCCACGCCCCUCCCAUUGGACACGCCCUUUCGGUACUCCCCGCCCGAUCGGCGGAUAAACCACGCCUCUUUCCGGGUGUGGGCGUGGCCAAGCCCCGCCGUGCCCCGGAGCGAGGAGGGCGCCCCCCAGCGGCGGCGGGCGGAGCCGCACCCCGGCCUUGGUGGGGGGAACCACAGGGGAGGGCGGGGGGCGCACACGGGACCCCUCCCCACACCGGGACCCCUCCCCACCCCGGUAUCCGCGCCUGGACCCGCCCCUCCGGGUGUCCCGUGAGCCCACCGGGGGCAGCAGCGCCUUCCCCAGCCCCGUACGGGGGUCCCGGGCUCAGCUCCGCUCCCCCCUCCCCGCUCCGGCCUCUCUCGUCCGGUCCUUCCCCCCCCCACACCCACGGCGUCCGGUGCCCCCGGCCCGCCCCGUCCGGCGCUGGUUCCUUUUCCUUUGUCCCGGUGACAAUGUCCCGGCUCCGCCUUCCCGGGGCCGCCUCAGCCAGCGCGGGGAUCCGCCGGACCCCCGGGAGCGCCGAGCGGCCGGGCCGCCCCCUGCCCCCCCCCCGGGGACGCCGCCGGACGCCGCUUCCUCCUCCCCCCCCGCCGGGCCGGGCGGCGGGGGCUCCGGCGGGACCAGGCGGGGACGGGACGGGGCGCGGGGGGCCCCGGGGGACGGGACGGGGAGGGAGGAGACGGGGGGGGCUGUGGGGGGUUGGGGAGGGGGCGUAGGGAUCCCCCGGGGGGGUUGUGGGGACCCUUUGGAGCUACCGGGAUCGGGGAGAUCACCGGGGAGCGGCGGGGAGUGAAGAGGAGUAACCGGGAACGCGGGGAGCCCCGGGAUCUGCAGGGACUCCCAGGGGAUCCAUUGGGACCCCCAGGGACCACCGGGAUCUGUAGGGACCCCCAGGGACCACCGGGACCCCCGGGAUCUGUAGGGACCCUCAGGGACCCCCGGGAUCUAUUGGGACCACUGGGAUCCAUAGAGACCCCCGGGAUCCAUUGGGACCCCCAGGGAUCCAUAGGGACCCCUGGGAUCUACAGAGACCCCAGGAACCAGCGGGACCCCCAGGACCCC